UCCUCACGUUGGCAGACUCUCGCACUGACC
rnacentral:piRNA from 1 species